GACGAACGCUGGCGGCGUGCUUAACACAUGCAAGUCGAACGGAAAGGCCCUGCUUGCAGGGUGCUCGAGUGGCGAACGGGUGAGUAACACGUGGGUGAUCUGCCCCUUAUUUUGGGAUAAGCCUGGGAAACUGGGUCUAAUACUGGAUAGGACCAUGCUGUAGGUGGUGUGGUGGAAAGAUUAGUUUCGGUAAGGGAUGAGCUCGCGGCCUAUCAGCUUGUUGGUGGGGUAAUGGCCUACCAAGGCGUCGACGGGUAGCCGGCCUGAGAGGGUGGACGGCCACAUUGGGACUGAGAUACGGCCCAGACUCCUACGGGAGGCAGCAGUGGGGAAUAUUGCACAAUGGGCGCAAGCCUGAUGCAGCGACGCCGCGUGGGGGAUGACGGCCUGCGGGUUGUAAACUCCUUUCGGCCAUGACGAAGCCCUUGUGGCGACGGUAGUGGUAGAAGAAGCACCGGCUAACUACGUG
rnacentral:rRNA from 1 species